AUACGGAGGAUGCAAGCGUUAUCCGGAUUUAUAGGGUUUAAAGGGUGCGCAGGCGGAAAAUUAAGUCAGUGGUGAAAUCCUACAGCUUAACUGUAGAACUGCCAUUGAUACUGAUUUUCUUGAGUGCAGUUGAGGUAGGCGGAAUGUGUAAUGUAGCGGUGAAAUGCUUAGAUAUUACACAGAACACCGAUUGCGUAGGCAGCUUACUAAACUGUUACUGACGCUCAGGCACGAAAGCGUGGGGAGCGAACAGGAUUAGAAACCCCAGUAGUCC
rnacentral:rRNA from 1 species